CGCAUUCACUGACUGUGCGUGAGAGUGGCGGGGUGCAGAGGUGCGUGAAGGAGUGUUGCACCACCCGUAGCAGCUUCAUAUAACUAAGGUGCCUCCUUACUACCUAUAGACUGACUAACCACCAUCUUGACUACCACCACAGCAACCACUAUUACUACUACAACUACCACCACCACCAACAUUGCUCGCCACCACAAUUUGUCUGCCACAACCACAAGUGCGUCCUACCACAAUUUAAAUGCGAUACUUAUGACCACUGUGGUGACGGUAGUGAUGAAAUGGAUUGUGGUAGUAGUAGUGGUGGUGGUGGUGUUGUUGUUGUUGUUGGUGGUGGUGGUGUAUGGAAAGUCAUGCUGGUAGGCGAAAAACAUGACUACAGUGGAAAUGUUAUGAUUCGCAUCAUUAGCAACAACAACAACAACAACAACAAUAACAACAACAACAAUGAUGGCAGUAGUAGCAGUAGUAGUGAAUGGUCAUACAUAUAUGAUGACUAUUUUGACUAUCAGGAGGCCGAUGUUGUGUGUCGGACUAUCGGUCUAAAAGGAGCCGUAAAAUUUACUAGGAAUAACUAUUUCGAUGAUAGUAAUAG